UCGAGAAUUUUUCACAAUGGGCGCAAGCCUGAUGGAGCGACGCCGCGUGGGGGAUGAAUGGCUUCGGCCCGUAAACCCCUGUCAUUUGCGAUCAACCGUUGUUGUUUAAGAGAUGACAACCUGAUAGUAGCGAAAGAGGAAGGGACGGCUAACUCUGUGCCAGCAGCCGCGGUAAUACAGAGGUCCCAAGCGUUGUUCGGAUUAACUGGGCGUAAAGGGUGCGUAGGCGGUUGGACAAGUCUGACGUGAAAUCCCGGAGCUUAACUCUGGAACGGCGUCGGAAACUGUCUGGCUAGAGGGUUGGAGGGGGGACUGGAAUACUUGGUGUAGCAGUGAAAUGCGUAGAUAUCAAGUGGAACACCAGUGGCGAAGGCGAGUCCCUGGACAACUCCUGACACUGAGGCACGAAAGCUAGGGUAGCAAACA
rnacentral:rRNA from 1 species